GGCGAGGUAGCUCAGUGGUAGAGCAGGAGACUCAUAAGCUCUUGGUCGUGGGUUCAACCCCCACCCUCGCCA
rnacentral:tRNA from 1 species